UGAUUAUGCCGAUACCAUUUGGGGUGAUAAGAACAAUUCGGUGCUGAUGGAUUCCCUUCAAACUUUAGAGAACAAAGCUGCAAAGCUGAUCUUAGAUGAACAUCCACGCUAUUCUGCAACGGAAGCACUACGACGACUAAAAUGGACAACACUUAAAACUAGAAGACAUAACCAUAGAUGUAUAUUUAUUUAUAAAUGUUUAAAUGAUUUAAUUGACUUUAAAUUUGAAUUAACAAAGAACGAAGACAUUCACAGCUAUUACACGAGAAGAAACUAGGGAUCCAAGGAUAGUGCAGAGUUUCAAAGACGAACGCUAUAUUGACAUACUUAUUAAUUGAAUAGUUUUUCAAGCGUGGUUUAUAGCUUUAAUCACAUGUCGAUAUGACGUACAGUAGUAGCGCGCGUGACUGUUACAACAGUAAAAAGGCUAAGAUAUGGU